GCUCCAUAUUUCAGUGAUCACCCUCAGGAGGCUCCCACGAGUAACAGAUACAAAUUGUCAUGGUGACAGGCCGAAGGAGAGGAAAGGGGAAUAUGGGAUAGGCUUUUCCUCCAUGGAAAUGCUUCCUGCCAGCAAUGACAAACGUACUCAUUCAUUUAUUCACUAACUCUUGUGCUCUCUAAUUCUCUUGUUCUUUCGUUGUGUCUUUCUCUCAGUUUCUCUCUCUCCUUUAGAGAGAGUGAGUCAUCUGCAGGUGGGUGAAUCACUAUGGGGUGGUCCUCUUAAAAUCAAAUAAAAAUCAGUUGAGGGUUUACAGAGAGGUAAUUGAUAAUCAGGUGAGGGUUUACAGAGAGGUAAUUGAUAAUCAGGUGAGGGUUUACAGAGAGGUAAUUGAUAAUCAGGUGAGGGUUUACAGAGAGGUAAUUGAUAAUCAGGUGAGGGUUUACAGAGAGGUAAUUGAUAAUCAGGUGAGGGUUUACAGAGAGGUAAUUGAUAAUCAGGUGAGGGUUUACAG
ensembl:lncRNA